rnacentral:rRNA from 1 species
GACGAACGCUGGCGGCGUGCCUAAUACAUGCAAGUUGAGCGCUGAAGGUUGGUACUUGUACCAACUGGAUGAGCAGCGAACGGGUGAGUAACGCGUGGGGAAUCUGCCUUUGAGCGGGGGACAACAUUUGGAAACGAAUGCUAAUACCGCAUAAAAACUUUAAACACAAGUUUUAAGUUUGAAAGAUGCAAUUGCAUCACUCAAAGAUGAUCCCGCGUUGUAUUAGCUAGUUGGUGAGGUAAAGGCUCACCAAGGCGAUGAUACAUAGCCGACCUGAGAGGGUGAGCGGCCACAUUGGGACUGAGACACGGCCCAAACGCCUACGGGAAGCAGCAGUAGGGAAUCUUCGGCAAUGGACGAAAGUCUGAACGAGCAACGCCGCGGGAGUGAAGAAGGUUUUCGGAUCGUAAAACUCUGUUGGUAGAGAAGAACGUUGGUGAGAGUGGAAAGCUCAUCAAGUGACGGUAACUACCCAGAAAGGGACGGCUAACUACGUG